CAGUAGCCGCGGGAAUACGUAGGGUGCAAGCGUUAAUCGGAAUUACUGGGCGUAAAGCGUGCGCAGGCGGUUUUGUAAGACAGAUGUGAAAUCCCCGGGCUCAACCUGGGAACUGCAUUUGUGACUGUAUAGCUAGAGUACGGCAGAGGGGGAUGGAAUUCCGCGUGUAGCAGUGAAAUGCGUAGAUAUGCGGAGGAACACCGAUGGCGAAGGCAAUCCCCUGGGCCUGUACUGACGCUCAUGCACGAAAGCGUGGGGAGCAAACAGGAUUAGAUACCCCCGUAGUCCCUGUCUCUUAUAC
rnacentral:rRNA from 1 species